rnacentral:rRNA from 1 species
CUAUGUGUUGUUGGGUAGGGGAGCGUUCUGUAAGCCUGUGAAGGUGGCCUGUGAGGGUUGCUGGAGGUAUCAGAAGUGCGAAUGCUGACAUAAGUAACGAUAAAGCGGGUGAAAAGCCCGCUCGCCGGAAGACCAAGGGUUCCUGUCCAACGUUAAUCGGGGCAGGGUGAGUCGACCCCUAAGGCGAGGCCGAAAGGCGUAGUCGAUGGGAAACGGGUUAAUAUUCCCGUACUUGGUGUUACUGCGAAGGGGGGACGGAGAAGGCUAUGUUGGCCGGGCGACGGUUGUCCCGGUUUAAGCGUGUAGGUGUGUGUUCCAGGUAAAUCCGGUUCACUUUAACACUGAGGCGUGAUGACGAGGCACUACGGUGCUGAAGCAACAAAUGCCCUGCUUCCAGGAAAAGCCUCUAAGCAUCAGGUAACAUCAAAUCGUACCCCAAACCGACACAGGUGGUCAGGUAGAGAAUACCAAGGCGCUUGAGAGAACUCGGGUGAAGGAACUAGGCAAAAUGGUGCCGUAACUUCGGGAGAAGGCACGCUGACACGUAGGUGAAGUGAUUUACUCAUGGAGCUGAAGUCAGUCGAAGAUACCAGCUGGCUGCAACUGUUUAUUAAAAACACAGCACUGUGCAAACACGAAAGUGGACGUAUACGGUGUGACGCCUGCCCGGUGCCGGAAGGUUAAUUGAUGGGGUCAGCGCAAGCGAAGCUCCUGAUCGAAGCCCCGGUAAACGGCGGCCGUAACUAUAACGGUCCUAAGGUAGCGAAAUUCCUUGUCGGGUAAGUUCCGACCUGCACGAAUGGCGUAAUGAUGGCCAGGCUGUCUCCACCCGAGACUCAGUGAAAUUGAACUCGCUGUGAAGAUGCAGUGUACCCGCGGCAAGACGGAAAGACCCCGUGAACCUUUACUAUAGCUUGACACUGAACAUUGAGCCUUGAUGUGUAGGAUAGGUGGGAGGCUUUGAAGUGUGGACGCCAGUCUGCAUGGAGCCGGCCUUGAAAUACCACCCUUUAAUGUUUGAUGUUCUAACGUGGACCCGUGAUCCGGGUUGCGGACAGUGUCUGGUGGGUAGUUUGACUGGGGCGGUCUCCUCCUAAAGAGUAACGGAGGAGCACGAAGGUUGGCUAAUCCUGGUCGGACAUCAGGAGGUUAGUGCAAUGGCAUAAGCCAGCUUGACUGCGAGCGUGACGGCGCGAGCAGGUGCGAAAGCAGGUCAUAGUGAUCCGGUGGUUCUGAAUGGAAGGGCCAUCGCUCAACGGAUAAAAGGUACUCCGGGGAUAACAGGCUGAUACCGCCCAAGAGUUCAUAUCGACGGCGGUGUUUGGCACCUCGAUGUCGGCUCAUCACAUCCUGGGGCUGAAGUAGGUCCCAAGGGUAUGGCUGUUCGCCAUUUAAAGUGGUACGCGAGCUGGGUUUAGAACGUCGUGAGACAGUUCGGUCCCUAUCUGCCGUGGGCGCUGGAGAACUGAGGGGGGCUGCUCCUAGUACGAGAGGACCGGAGUGGACGCAUCACUGGUGUUCGGGUUGUCAUGCCAAUGGCACUGCCCGGUAGCUAAAUGCGGAAGAGAUAAGUGCUGAAAGCAUCUAAGCACGAAACUUGCCCCGAGAUGAGUUCUCCCUGAGACUUAGAGUCUCCUGAAGGAACGUUGAAGACGACGACGUUGAUAGGCCGGGUGUGUAAGCGCAGCGAUGCGUUGAGCUAACCGGUACUAAUGAACCGUGAGGCUUAACCUU